rnacentral:RNase_P_RNA from 1 species
CAGAUGAUUGCGCUACACUUUAUGUGGGUGAGGAAAGUCCGAGCUUCACAGGGCAGGAUGCCGGAUAACGUCCGGUGGAGGCGACUCCAAGGCAAGUGCAACAGAAAAGAUACCGCCACACUAUGUGGUAAGGGUGGAAUGGUGGCGUAAGAGACCACCACCGGUAUGGUAACAUGCCGGCUUGUGUAAACCCCAUCCGAAGCAAGACCAUAUAAACGGCUAUGUGGCUGCCCGUCACGUCGUUAGGUAGGUCGCGUGAGCCCGGUGGCAACACCGUGCCAAGAAAGAUAAUCAUCUGAUACAGAACUCGGCUUACAGUGCUGCUC